UGGGGAAUAUUGCACAAUGGAGGGAACUCUGAUGCAGCGACGCCGCGUGAACGAAGAAGGCUUUCGAGUCGUAAAGUUCUUUUAUAUGGGAAGAUAAUGACGGUACCAUAAGAAGAAGCCCCGGCUAACUACGUGCCAGCAGCCACGGUAAUACGUAGGGGGCUAGCGUUGUCCGGAAUCACUGGGCGUAAAGGGUUCGCAGGCGGAAAUGCAAGUCAGGUGUAAAAGGCAGUAGCUUAACUACUGUAAGCAUUUGAAACUGCAUAUCUUGAGAAGAGUAGAGGUAAGUGGAAUUUUUAGUGUAGCGGUGAAAUGCGUAGAUAUUAAAAAGAAUACCGGUGGCGAAGGCGACUUACUGGGCUCAUUCUGACGCUGAGGAACGAAAGCGUGGGUAGCAAACAGG
rnacentral:rRNA from 1 species